AUGGGAGAGGCCUUGUUAAAGGAAAUGCAUGCUUGUUUGAUGACAUUGAGGUAUCCAAGAACCUUGUGUUUGAUAGGCUUACCAUGUGGACCGACACAGACUUUUUUGAGUUAACUGUUCAGAUUGUUGAGUUGAUCCUAGCCCGUUUUCUGAAGGUAUGUUCUAUGGUGCUUCCAGUCGAUUUAGAGCUCCUGUCACAAAAGAAUGAUCGAUUCAGAAAGGAUUUGGCAAUAUUAGAUCAAUUGCAAAAAGCUAAGUCAAAUGCAGUCAGUAUUGCCAUUGAAGGCAUGGACAUGUGCAAGAAGAAUCAGACUUGGGAAUGGCUGUCCUUUUUGGAUGAACCAAAAAUAGUGUCAAUGAGGAGAACAUUCCAGACAGUGUAGGCAAAGGAAGAAGAAAAGCUUUCUGCCACACCUGCAGAAGAAUGAAAAUGGUAAAGGAAUAGACAUUCCACAGUAGGACUAUACAGGACAUAACCUUUUUUUAUAACAGGUUUAACUUUGCCCCUGUAACCUGGUGAUGACAUUGCCUAUACAGCUCUUUCAAAAAUGUUGCAUGAAUGUGAUUUUCUUUCUCGCACCUUAACUUUUGUGUUCAGACUGGUGAAAGAUAAACUGCAAUGCAACCUCAGACAAUAAGUAGAUGCAAGUAUAAUAUAGUUAGACUAUAUACCUAUUGUGUGAUAUACUGUAUAGCCUAAUGAUGUUCAAACACGGUGUCAGUAAAUGUUGAACGUCAAAUAACGCUUAUCCAUUAUCCAUGCUUAGUCUCAAUGGUUGAAUUUGCAUAUUUCCUUGGCCUUCUUUUGAUGCCUGGUCUUGUUUUUGAAAAGACUAAUUGAAUGAAAAUAAAUCUAAUUUUGAAAGGAGACCAGUCAUUAUUUUAGUGUUAUUAGCUUAUUUCUGGACCAUUUUCCCCCUCACUUUUUUGUAUGACCAUUGAAUUGCCUACUUGAAUGGUCAGCUUAAAUAGAAACACGAUGGAGAGCAAGGCUCUGAAAGUUGUCAACUUUUCCACUGUUCAAAAUGAAUCAUGCUUUAUUUUUUUUUUAAAUCAUAUUUUGGUAAUCCGUUUUUGAGAGCCUGUUUUUGAAUUGAAUCUGUGAAAUUCCCAGGACAGGACCCGCAAUUUGUUUGUGUGAAAAUCAAAGCCCGAUCUGAUUCAGGUCCAAGGUGUACCAGAUCCGACCCAAAAUAUAUCCGAAAUGAGGGAGAAUCUGAUCCAGAGUCUCAGAUGGGGAGCUGGACCUCUUGAAGACCAAGCUAGACUGGCAGGCCUGUGGAUAUCUUGUUCUGGGCUACUCAGAGGUGCUGCCAGAACUGGACCUUGGCACUAUCAAUUCACAGACCACCACCUACAGCCCCUCCAUACAAACCUGCACAUAGGACAAGUGCUGGGCCUCAGUCACAAUGUCAUCACUGAUGCUCUGACUGAAACUAGCCUACACCAACUGGUCUUUGCCAACUGUUCCACUAACCUGCCGUAUAGUGUGCAUUGGAGUGCUUGCCUGUGAUUGAGAAAGCGUGCGAUGUAGACUUGCGAACAGAACAUCCUUCCUGACACACAAGACAAGAGUUCUGAGGUCUUGUAAAGAGGGAUGAGAGGACUGCCAAUAGAUUAAACUGAUUCAUUACUUUGAUCAGUCCUACUUUCAACACUUCGUACUAAAAAUGUACUCUGAUUGCCCACUUAGGCUUGCAAUGGAUUUCAGUGGAGUUAAACAUGACACAUGCAGUGUCACUGUUUCGGGGCUACGAGAAGGGGUCGAGAUAAGAGCGUCUGCUAAAUGACUUAAAUGUAAAUGUAAAUGUAAGGGGCUACGAGAAGGGGUCGAGAAGGGGCUACGAGAAGGGGUCGAGAAGGGGCUACGAGAAGGGGUCGAGAAGGGGCUACGAGAAGGGGUCGAGAAGGGGCUACGAGAAGGGGUCGAUUUGGAAUUCAGCACUGUCCAUGGGUUGACCGACCUGAACCUUUUUUUUUCUUAAAUGUUUUAUUUUUGUUUUUCACAGCUGGAAAUGUAAAGAUUGAAACAUUGUAGGGGCAUAGACCGAGGGUGGCCGAGGUGGGGCCCAAUCCUUGUUGCCAGGGGGCCCAAUCCCUAUUGCCAGGGGGCAUAUCUGGUACAGAGUCGGGGAGCUUAGACCACUACACUAGACUCCGUCACGACUGACCUGUACUUUUUACCAGAACAGAAAUACUAUGUUCAUCAGAUUCUCCUCACUGUAAAACUCAGAAUGGUUGUGAGGUCACAGGGAAAAGACUGAUCUGAGGGACCACAGACUCACAAAACAUUGUAGCUCACCUGACUGGAAAACACAGCUCUUGGUGGUGCCAAUGUCUGCCAUGAAACAAAAAUGAAAACACAACAGAAAAUUGCUCUCUACUUCCUACCACAAUCUUAUAUAUUACAUACUUAGAAUAUGAAUGUGAUUAUUCAUACACUCAUAUUAGGCCUAUUUCUUUUUGGUUGGGGUGUUCAAUGGUUCAGUGGACUAGCUACCACUAUGGCAUUUUGAUGUUAUGGUGUCAGCUCUGGCUGGCUGAGAAGACAAGUAAAUGGGCUAAUAGUUGGCAGGGCAAUUUUAGUUUUUCCAACUUUGUAUUACCAUAUCAAAUAAUUUAAUGAAGGUAGAAAAAUAACUUUAUAUCAGUGUUAUGCAUGUUGUUCAAGCGUGUAACUGCCCUCUCAUUCACUAGAAUGGUCCCACCUGAUCUCGCCUCCUCCCGACUUCCUUCCAUCUUUGAAGACAUGUAUUUUCAUUGUUAGAGUGGCCACUUGAGUAUCUUAUCAAUAU